GUCUCUUUCAGAUGCACUAUCUCAGAACACAUUACUCUGUUGGCUGUCCUGUAGACGUGGAAACAUGGAAUAAUAUUAACAUUUAUUCAACACAUCUACUACACGUCAGACACUGACCUAGGAGUUUUUAUGUGUCAGGUCCCCCCGAAAGUAGCCAGGACGCAGAGAGGAAAAGCUGCAGAAAGGACCUGGUUCCAGAAAGUGCAGACUGCCGUGGUAUCCCUCCGCAGAGCCGGUCCAGUGGCCAACAUGCGAAUGGGUGAGAUCAUGGGGCAGAGAAGAGAGAGGGGCCGAGCCUUGAAGGAUGCCAGCACCAUGGGAAAAAGAACAAGCAGUUUCUGGGAGACACAAAAGGGAAACCGGGAAAGUGCAGCCUGGCCCAGCCAAGGGGGAGGCUUCAAGGGGGAGGUGAACAGCAAGACCAGAUGCUUCAGAAGUCCGGUGGGAUGAGGUCUGAAAAUGAGCCCACGGGAUUUGGCAACAGGAGGUCACAGCAGCCCUUAGGAGGGCACAGUGACUGUGACGCUCCGGCGGGAUCCAGAUGGUGCCUGGGGGAGAGGAGAUGACUUCCUCUGGCUGGUCAGAGAAGCUUUGAGGAAACAGAAGGAAAGCGAAAAAAAGCAAAGCCCUUUUGGGCUGAGAAGUGGAAGGAGAGAAGGUUAUGUUUACCGUCUCAUCUCCUCUUUGCUCUGUUUUCUUGACUCUGGCUGCAAUAAUCAUUGCAUUCAUAGAAAAUAAAGCAUGUUAUUUGAUGAAA